rnacentral:rRNA from 1 species
ACGCUGGCGGCAGGCCUAACACAUGCAAGUCGAGCGAGAAAGUGCCCUUCGGGGCGCGAGUACAGCGGCGAACGGGUGAGUAACACGUAGGAAUCUGCCCGGUAAUGGGGGAUAGCCCGAGGAAACUCGGAUUAAUACCGCAUACGCCCUACGGGGGAAAGGGGGCGCCUCCCUUCGGGGAAGCUCUCGUUAUCGGAUGAGCCUGCGCAGGAUUAGCUUGUUGGUGGGGUAAUGGCCCACCAAGGCUUCGAUCCUUAGCUAGUCUGAGAGGACGAUUAGCCACACCGGAACUGAGACACGGUCCGGACUCCUACGGGAGGCAGCAGUGGGGAAUAUUGGACAAUGGGCGAAAGCCUGAUCCAGCCAUGCCGCGUGUGUGAAGAAGGCCUUCGGGUUGUAAAGCACUUUCAGCGGGGAAGAAAUACCCGGCGCUAAUACCGCCGGGGGCUGACAUUAACCGAAGAAGAAGCACCGGCUAACUCCGUGCCAGCAGCCGCGGUAAUACGGAGGGUGCGAGCGUUAAUCGGAAUUACUGGGCGUAAAGAGCACGUAGGCGGCUAGAUCAGUCGGACGUGAAAGCCCCGAGCUCAACUCGGGAAUUGCGUUCGAUACUGUCUGGCUAGAGUGCAGCAGAGAGGGGAGGAAUUUCCGGUGUAGCGGUGAAAUGCGUAGAUAUCGGAAAGAACACUCGUGGCGAAGGCGACCCCUUGGGCUGAUACUGACGCUGAAGAGCGAAAGCGUGGGGAGCAAAGAGGAUUAGAUACCCUCGUAGUCCACGCCGUAAACGAUGAGAACUAGCUGUUGGGAGGGAAGAUGUCCUUCGGGAUAUCGAGAGCUUCUCAGUGGCGAAGCUAACGCGUUAAGUUCUCCGCCUGGGGAGUACGGCCGCAAGGCUAAAACUCAAAUGAAUUGACGGGGGCCCGCACAAGCGGUGGAGCAUGUGGUUUAAUUCGAUGCAACGCGAAGAACCUUACCACCCCUUGACAUCACCCGGAAUCUGGCAGAGAUGUCAGAGUUCCGAAAGGACUGGGUGACAGGUGUUGCAUGGCUGUCGUCAGCCCGUGUCGUGAGAUGUUGGGUUAAGUCCCAUAACGAGCGCAACCCCCGUGGUUAGUUGCCAGCGGUUUAAGCCGGGCACUCUAGCCAGACUGCCGCUGACAAAGCGUAGGAAGGUGGGGACAACGUCAAGUCAUCAUGGCCCUUACGGGGUGGGCUACACACGUGCUACAAUGGGGCAUGCAAACGGUAUCGAACCCGAGAGGGGGAGGCAAUCCGAUAAACUGUCUCUCAGUCCGGAUCGGAGUCUGCAACUCGACUCCGUGAAGUCGGAAUCGCUAGUAAUCGCGGAUCAGCAUGCCGCGGUGAAUAUGUUCCCGAGCCUUGUACACACCGCCCGUCACACCAUGGGAGUGGAUUGCACCAGAAGUGGCUAGCCUAACCUUCGGGAGGGCGGUCACCACGGUGUGGUCGCGACUGGGG